rnacentral:misc_RNA from 1 species
AAGUCGUAACAAGGUCUCCGUAGGUGAACCUGCGGAGGGAUCAUUAACACGUUUUAACAACGUACCCACCAAACCAUUGGAAACGCGAGGAGUGAUUGUUGAACUUGACCUGCUCAAGUGCAGCAAUCCCGCCGCAGUUCUCUCCCUCCGCUGUACAGACCAACACCGGUCUAGACAGUGGUGGCUAUUCUCCCUUCUUCACACCCUUUUCCAACUUCACUAUUGGAGCUGCGUUGACCUAGGUUGACCUAGUUCCGAUAUUGUCCUUAACUGCCCUGUAUUCUAUCAAGCUUGCUUGUCUUGCUUGGUAGUUGAUAUUUAAUGCAAAGCACAACUCUUAGCAACGGAUAUCUUGGUUCUC